CUCCUCUGUUCCCUACUCCUGUAGUGUGUGGUAGGUGGGGGAAGCCUCCUCUGUUCCCUACUCCUGUAGUGUGUGGUAGGUGGGGGAAGCCUCCUCUGUUCCCUACUCCUGUCGUGUGUGGUAGGUGUGGGAAGCCUCCUCUGUUCCCUACUCCUGUAGUGUCUGU